AAGGGUGAUAUAAGCUACAACAUUUGUGACUAUAUUGAGUCUAUCAAUCAUUUGUUCUUUAAUGGUCACCUGGCAUUGUUAGUUUGGGGGCUUUUACAAGAUAUUUUUGAGCUUGAUCCUUGUCCUAGAUUCCUAGAAGAUAUGUCUGUUACUUGGUUACAAGGCAUGGGGCCUUUGCGAAAUCGGGUGGUUAUGUUUUUUUUUGCGGGUUUUGCUUGGACGUUAUGGAUUAUGCAGAAU
rnacentral:lncRNA from 1 species